AACGAACGCUGGCGGCAUGCCUAACACAUGCAAGUCGAACGAGACCUUCGGGUCUAGUGGCGCACGGGUGCGUAACGCGUGGGAAUCUGCCCUCAGGUACGGAAUAACUCAGGGAAACUUGAGCUAAUACCGUAUAAUGACUUCGGUCCAAAGAUUUAUCGCCUGGGGAUGAGCCCGCGUCGGAUUAGCUAGUUGGUGAGGUAAAGGCUCACCAAGGCGACGAUCCGUAGCUGGUCUGAGAGGAUGAUCAGCCACACUGGGACUGAGACACGGCCCAGACUCCUACGGGAGGCAGCAGUGGGGAAUAUUGGACAAUGGGCGCAAGCCUGAUCCAGCAAUGCCGCGUGAGUGAUGAAGGCCUUAGGGUUGUAAAGCUCUUUUACCCGGGAAGAUAAUGACUGUACCGGGAGAACAAGCCCCGGCUAACUCCGUGCCAGCAGCCGCGGUAAUACGGAGGGGGCUAGCGUUGUUCGGAAUUACUGGGCGUAAAGCGCACGU
rnacentral:rRNA from 1 species